AUGAUGCUCACGAAGAAGCUUGGUGAGCUCGACCUAUUGAUGAAGCCAAAGCAAGACAGAUAUGCUCUCCGCACAUCGCUGCAAUGGCUUGGGCCACAAACUGAGGUCAUCCGUGCAGCGACGAAGUUGAUUGAGCGCGAGAUCAACUCCGUUAAUGACAACCCACUCAUUGACGUAUCUCGUGGAAAGGCAAUUCACGGUGGCAACUUCCAAGGCACGCACAUCGGUCGCCGCAACCCAAGCCUGGACUAUGGCUUCAAGGGUGCCGAGAUCGCCAUGGCUUCAUACUGCUCGGAGCUCCAAUUCUUGGGCAACCCUGUGACCAACCAUGUCCAGACCAUUGACCCGCGCCACCUCGAGGAGAAUGUCAAGAAUGCCGUCAAGAAUUGUGUCACAAGAGUGGCCAGGAAGACACUGAUCACAAAUGACAUGGGUGGUCUCCACAACGCACUUUUUUAUGAGAAGGACCUACUCCAAACAAUUGACCGCGAGGCGGUGUUUGCAUACGCGGACGACCCUUGCAGCGCCAACUACCCUCUCAUGAAGAAGAUGCGCGCGGUGCUGGUGGAGCAUGCUCUGGCCAACGGUGAGGCUGAGCACAAUGUGGAGACCUCGGUGUUUGCCAAGGUUGCCAAAUUCGAGCAGGAGCUCUGCGCGACACUGCCUCGGGAGGUUGAGGCUGCUAGAGGUGUAGUGGAGAAUGGCACUGCUGCAGAACCGAACCGUAUCACUGACUACCGAUCAUACCCUCUGUAUCGGUUCGUGCGCGAGGAGCUUGGAAUGGUGUACUUGACCUGA
rnacentral:rRNA from 1 species